GCACCGCUAGCUCAAUUGGAUAGAGUGCCUGACUACGAAUCAGUAGGUUGGGGGUUCGAGCCCCUCGCGGUGCACCA
rnacentral:tRNA from 1 species